GAGCGAAAGGGUGGGGAGCAAACAGGCUUAGAUACCCUGGUAGUCCACCCCGUAAACGUUGGGAACUAGUUGUGGGGACCAUUCCACGGUUUCCGUGACGCAGCUAACGCAUUAAGUUCCCCGCCUGGGGAGUACGGCCGCAAGGCUAAAACUCAAAGGAAUUGACGGGGACCCGCACAAGCGGCGGAGCAUGCGGAUUAAUUCGAUGCAACGCGAAGAACCUUACCAAGGCUUGACAUACACCAGAACGGGCCAGAAAUGGUCAACUCUUUGGACACUGGUGAACAGGUGGUGCAUGGUUGUCGUCAGCUCGUGUCGUGAGAUGUUGGGUUAAGUCCCGCAACGAGCGCAACCCUCGUUCUAUGUUGCCAGCACGUAAUGGUGGGAACUCAUGGGAUACUGCCGGGGUCAACUCGGAGGAAGGUGGGGAUGACGUCAAAUCAUCAUGCCCCUUAUGUCUUGGGCUUCACGCAUGCUACAAUGGCCGGUACAAAGGGCUGCAAUACCGUGAGGUGGAGCGAAUCCCAAAAAGCCGGUCCCAGUUCGGAUUGAGGUCUGCAACUCGACCUCAUGAAGUCGGAGUCGCUAGUAAUCGCAGAUCAGCAACGCUGCGGUGAAUACGUUCCCGGGUCUUGUACACACCGCCCGUCAAGUCAUGAAA
rnacentral:rRNA from 1 species